rnacentral:rRNA from 1 species
GAGUUUGAUUCAUGGCUCAGAGUGAACGCUGGCGGCGUGCCUAAUACAUGCAAGUCGAACGGACAAGUAAGAGCUUGCUCUUAUGAGUUAGUGGCGCACGGGUGAGUAAUGUAUAGCUAAUCUGCCCUACACUAGAGGACAACAGUUGGAAACGACUGCUAAUACUCUAUACUCCUCUCUAGCAUAAGUUAGAUAGGGAAAGUUUUUCGGUGUAGGAUGAGGCUAUAUUGUAUCAGCUAGUUGGUGAGGUAAUGGCUCACCAAGGCUAUGACGCAUAACUGGUCUGAGAGGAUGAUCAGUCACACUGGAACUGAGACACGGUCCAGACUCCUACGGGAGGCAGCAGUAGGGAAUAUUGCUCAAUGGGGGAAACCCUGAAGCAGCAACGCCGCGUGGAGGAUGACACUUUUCGGAGCGUAAACUCCUUUUGUUAGGGAAGAACAAUGACGGUACCUAACGAAUAAGCACCGGCUAACUCCGUGCCAGCAGCCGCGGUAAUACGGAGGGUGCAAGCGUUACUCGGAAUCACUGGGCGUAAAGGACGCGUAGGCGGAUUAUCAAGUCUCUUGUGAAAUCCUAUGGCUUAACCAUAGAACUGCUUGGGAAACUGAUAAUCUAGAGUGAGGGAGAGGCAGAUGGAAUUGGUGGUGUAGGGGUAAAAUCCGUAGAGAUCACCAGGAAUACCCAUUGCGAAGGCGAUCUGCUGGAACUCAACUGACGCUAAUGCGUGAAAGCGUGGGGAGCAAACAGGAUUAGAUACCCUGGUAGUCCACGCCCUAAACGAUGUAUACUAGUUGUUGCUAAGCUAGUCUUGGCAGUAAUGCACCUAACGGAUUAAGUAUACCGCCUGGGGAGUACGGUCGCAAGAUUAAACUCAAAGAAUAGACGGGGACCCGCACAAGCGGUGGAGCGAUGUGGUUUGAAUUUCGAAAGAUACGCGAAAGAAACCUUACCCGGACUUGAUAUCUAACUAAUUCUAUCUAGAGAUAGAAGAGUGUUCUGCUUGCAGAAAAUGUUAAGAACGAGAGUGCUGCACGGCUGUUCGUCUAGCUCGUGUCGUGAGAUGUUGGGUUAAGUCCCGCGAACGAGCGCGAACCCGACGUUCGUUAGUUGCUAACGGUUUCGGCUGAGCCGCUCUAAUGAGAACUGCCUUCGUUAAGGAGAAGGAAAGGUGUGGACGA